AGCAGCCCAUGAAACUAGAAGGGGGAUCAGAGAGCAGACAGAACCACACAUAUGGCUUUUAACCGACUGUAUCUUUCUUCCUGACAGCAAAAGUUUGGAGGUGUGUUGGAGGGUUCUUUUUGGCAUCUGUCCAUCUGUUGGAGACAAAGUUUCUCAUUGGCCGGAAACCUCACCACAAAGUCUCAUAGAUCUUGAAGUGCUCAUGCAGUCAAGCAAGAAGAAGAAGAAGAAGAAGAAGAAGAAGAAGAAGAAGAAGAAGAAGAAGAAGAAGAAGAAGAAGAAGACCCAAUGGGCGUGAGGUCUGAUUUUCAACAUGAAAACCCAAAGCAUUCUUUUAUAACUUUUUUUGAUCACUGUGUAAAUAGUUCAGACGAACUCUUUUUUGAAAGGGCAAUAUUGUGCACAGUUGUUUUUAUUUGAUUAAGCUUCAGGACUAAUUUGUAAAGUGCUGUGGGAUAGACUUGUCAAGCUCAAGCCAAGCAAAGAUCAUUCAGUCUCCACCCUCUCUCACAUUACUCUGAAAGAACAUGUUUUUAGAACACAGUCACUCCCCUCUCCCCUUUCCUUCAACUCUGAUGUAUUGUGGCAUAUCAGAGAAUUAAGCAGCAUAGGGAUGGGUAAAAGGAUCACAGGGACAACAAACACAUCCAAGUUUAUGGAGCUAAGUUUCACCAGUUCAUCUCAACCCAAUCUUUUGAUACUGAAACUAGAAAGAGACUUUUUAGAGCAGGGGUGGUUAGAUGGUAGAAUGCCUGCCUAACUAACAUGCUAGAGGCCCCGAGUUCCCACCUCAGGGUUAAAAACACAUUUCACAGUCAAAAAGAAAGAGACGGUUGUGGAACAAGGCAAAUUUCACUCUUGAUCAAUAGGUUGUGCUCAGAGGAAUGAACACACAGAGACAGGAAGUACACUUGGUUUUAUUCUAACACAGGUGGUAUCUGUGUCAUUUCCUCCUUGGCUGAGGUCUGACCUCGGAGUCUUAUUUGAUUGGCUAGUCUGAAAAGAAUUUGUGCAGAGGAAAUGAAGGAGGGAGGGGGAAAGGGCUGUUGUUCUAAAGGGAAAAGGGUCACUGCUUCAGGCCACCAAAUUCCUGGAAUGUAGCUGGGAGCUUUCAUAUGAACAAAGAUUUUGCUGGACAGGAGGGGGAUUAAAACUUUUACAUAAAAGUCAUACAAGGUACAGAAGAUUUAUAUAUAUAUUUGAAUUCCUUGUCUUAAAACACAAACUUUAUACUAUUUGAUUAGAAAAGGCUCAUACUUAGUAUUUCUUAUACUAGCACCAUCAAAACAAACUGAACAUCCAAAUAUCAAAUGGAGUGCUUGUUACACCCAAGUGAGAUGCUAUUAGAAGUCGAAGCUGAUUGUACAGAGAUUCAGUGAGCUCAGAAGAAACAGAGCUAUAUAUAGAAGCAUGACUCUCCUGUUAUUUCUGAAGGCUGCAUUUACACAGUAAGGAUGCAGAUAAUGCAAUUAGUCAUGGCAUUGAUGGGCUGUCUACCGUUUUCCAGAUCCCUUGUUGGGUACUGGGUAUUUAGCACCUCAUGAAACUUCCAAAUUUGUAGGGGGUAGAAAGCUGAGGCUUUAAGUAAAAAGCUGAAAAGAUAGAUAUGGAAGUCACCAGGCAAGGUGAUGAGGGGUUUGCAAUGGAUUAACAGCCUGGUUGGCAGAGUGCUUGCUUGGCAUGUGUGAAUCCCUGGGUUUGAUCCCUAUGACAGCAUCAAACUGCAUGUGGUGCUGUAUAUUAGCCCUUGGGAACAGGGAAGAGGAUUAGAAGUUCAUGGCUGAUGUUGGUUAUAUAUGGAAUUUGAAGCCAGCCUGAGAUUCCUGAGACCUGACAAUGAAUGAAUACAUCAAUAAAUUAAUAAAUAAGAAAGAUA
rnacentral:lncRNA from 1 species